UCGAUAAAUUAUCAACAUCGGUCAUAAAAACAUGUAUGUAGGUCUAGUGUCCCGAUUGUCCGCACUUGAAAAAUUCGCUCGGUGGUCCAGCUACUAGAGCGUCCGCCUCCGACACAUGGUAGCACAGGUUCGAGUCCGCGAGAAGACGGUUGUGAAUUCAAAAUAUCCAAAAUACAUUGAAUUCUAGCAAUAACAAAACAUAAGGUAGGAAAUUAAAUAAAUCUCUACCAGGCGUCCAGAAAGUCUAGCGUGUAAACAAACCUCAUUUUUUU